CCUACGGGUGACAGCAGUCGAGAAUCAUUCACAAUGGGGGAAACCCUGAUGGUGCGACGCCGCGUGGGGGAAUGAAGGUCUUCGGAUUGUAAACCCCUGUCAUGUGGGAGCAAAUUAAAAAGAUAGUACCACAAGAGGAAGAGACGGCUAACUCUGUGCCAGCAGCCGCGGUAAUACAGAGGUCUCAAGCGUUGUUCGGAAUCACUGGGCGUAAAGCGUGCGUAGGCUGUUUCGUAAGUCGUGUGUGAAAGGCGCGGGCUCAACCCGCGGACGGCACAUGAUACUGCGAGACUAGAGUAAGGGAGGGGGAACCGGAAUUCUCGGUGUAGCAGUGAAAUGCGUAGAUAUCGAGAGGAACACUCGUGGCGAAGGCGGGUUCCUGGACAUUAACUGACGCUGAGGCACGAAGGCCAGGGGAGCGAAAGGGAUUAGAUACCCUGGUAGUC
rnacentral:rRNA from 1 species